rnacentral:rRNA from 1 species
AUUGUCUGAGCUGCAAGCAACGAAUCAAAACUUUCAACAACGGAUCUCUUGGUUCUGGCAUCGAUGAAGAACGCAGCGAAAUGCGAUAAGUAGUGUGAAUUGCAGAAUUCAGUGAAUCAUCGAAUCUUUGAACGCACAUUGCGCCCCUUGGUAUCCCGAGGGGCAUGCCUGUUCGAGCGUCAUUUCACCACUCAAGCCCGGCUUGGUGUUGGGCGACGUCUCCUUUAGGGACGCGCCUCGAAACGCUCGGCGGCGUGGCACCGGCUUUAAGCGUAGCAGAAUCUUUCGCUUUGAAAGUCGGGGCCUCGUCUGCCGGAAGACCUACUCGUAAGGUUGACCUCGGAUCAGGUAGGGAUACCCGCUGAACUUAAGCAUAUCAAUAAGUCGGAGGAA